rnacentral:rRNA from 1 species
UACGUAGGGUGCAAGCGUUGUCCGGAUUUAUUGGGCGUAAAGAGCGUGUAGGCGGCCAGGUAGGUCCGUUGUGAAAACUCGGGGCUCAACCCCGAGCGGUCGUGAGAAACUGGCAGGCUAGAGUGCGGGAGAGGAGAGUGGAAUUCCUGGUGUAGCGGUGAAAUGCGCAGAUAUCAGGAAGAACACCCGUGGCGAAGGCGGCUCUCUGGAACGCAACUGACGCUGAGACGCGAAAGCGUGGGGAGCAAACAGG